UUAACCGAAUAGGGGAGCCGUAGAGAAAUCGAGUCUUAAUAGGGCGUAUAGUUGCUGGGUAUAGACCCGAAACCGGGUGAUCUAUCCAUGAGCAGGUUGAAGGUUGGGUAACACUAACUGGAGGACCGAACCCACUGUCGUUGAAAAGCCAGGGGAUGACUUGUGGAUAGGGGUGAAAGGCUAAUCAAACUCGGUGAUAGCUGGUUCUCCCCGAAAGCUAUUUAGGUAGCGCCUCGGACGAAUACCAUUGGGGGUAGAGCACUGUUUCGGCUAGGGGGUCAUCCCGACUUACCAAACCGAUGCAAACUCCGAAUACCAAUGAGUACUAUCCGGGAGACAGACUGCGGGUGCUAACGUCCGUAGUCAAGAGGAAAACAAUCCAGACCGCCAGCUAAGGCCCCAAAAUCAUAGUUAAGUGGGAAACGAUGUGGGAAGGCAUAGACAGCUAGGAGGUUGGCUUAGAAGCAGCCACCCUUUAAAGAAAGCGUAAUAGCUCACUAGUCGAGUCGGCCUGCGCGGAAGAUGUAACGGGGCUAAAACUAUGUGCCGAAGCUGCGGAUUUGACAUUAGUCAAGUGGUAGGGGAGCGUUCUGUAAGCCGAAGAAGGUGGAUUGAGAAGUCUGCUGGAGGUAUCAGAAGUGCGAAUGCUGACGUGAGUAACGACAAAACGGGUGAAAAACCCGUUCGCUGAAAGACCAAGGGUUCCAGUCCAACGUUAAUCGGGGCUGGGUGAGUCGACCCCUAAGGCGAGGCCGAGAGGCGUAGUCGAUGGGAAAUUGGUUAAUAUUCCAAUACUUCAGUGUAAUGCGAUGAGAGGACGGAGAAGGUUAAGUCAGCCUGGCGUUGGUAGUCCAGGUGAAAGGAAGUAGGCAUGCAUCUUAGGCAAAUCCGGGGUGCUCUAUGCUGAGAUCUGAUAGCAAGCUGUACUUGUACAGUGAAGUGGCUGAUACCCUGCUUCCAGGAAAAGUCUCUAAGCUUCAGUUACACUGGAAUCGUACCCGAAACCGACACAGGUGGUCAGGUCGAGUAGACCAAAGCGCUUGAGAGAACUCUGCUGAAGGAACUAGGCAAAAUGGUACCGUAACUUCGGGAGAAGGUACGCUGUUGAUGGUGAUAGGACUCGCUCCUUGAGCUGUCGACAGCCUCAGAAACCAGGCCGCUGCAACUGUUUAUUAAAAACAUAGCACUCUGCAAACACGAAAGUGGACGUAUAGGGUGUGAUGCCUGCCCGGUGCUGGAAGGUUAAUUGAUGGGGUUAGCGUAAGCGAAGCUCUUGAUCGAAGCCCCAGUAAACGGCGGCCGUAACUAUAACGGUCCUAAGGUAGCGAAAUUCCUUGUCGGGUAAGUUCCGACCUGCACGAAUGGCAUAAUGAUGGCGGCGCUGUCUCCAGCAGAGGCUCAGUGAAAUCGAAUUCGCCGUGAAGAUGCGGUGUACCCGCGGCUAGACGGAAAGACCCCGUGAACCUUUACUGCAGCUUGACAUUGAACUUUGACCUUACUUGUGUAGGAUAGGUGGGAGGCUUUGAAGCUGGGACGCUAGUCCCAUUGGAGCCAUCCUUGAAAUACCACCCUGGUAAUGUUGAGGUUCUAACUCUGCCCCGUAAUCCGGGGCGAGGACCAUGUCUGGUGGGUAGUUUGACUGGGGCGGUCUCCUCCUAAAGAGUAACGGAGGAGUACGAAGGUGCGCUCAGCGUGGUCGGAAAUCACGCGUAGAGUAUAAAGGCAAAAGCGCGCUUAACUGCGAGACCCACAAGUCGAGCAGGUACGAAAGUAGGUCUUAGUGAUCCGGUGGUUCUGUAUGGAAGGGCCAUCGCUCAACGGAUAAAAGGUACUCUGGGGAUAACAGGCUGAUACCGCCCAAGAGUUCAUAUCGACGGCGGUGUUUGGCACCUCGAUGUCGGCUCAUCUCAUCCUGGGGCUGAAGCAGGUCCCAAGGGUAUGGCUGUUCGCCAUUUAAAGAGGUACGCGAGCUGGGUUUAGAACGUCGUGAGACAGUUCGGUCCCUAUCUACCGUGGGCGCUGGAAAUUUGAGAGGAUCUGCUCCUAGUACGAGAGGACCAGAGUGGACGAACCUCUGGUGUACCGGUUGUGACGCCAGUCGCAUCGCCGGGUAGCUAUGUUCGGAAGGGAUAACCGCUGAAAGCAUCUAAGCGGGAAGCCUACCUCAAGAUAAGAUUUCCCCGAGGCUUUAUGCCUCCUAAAGAGCCGUUGAAGACUACGACGUUGAUAGGUUGGAUGUGGAAGCAUAGCGAUAUGUGAAGCUGACCAAUACUAAUUGCUCGUGAGGCUUGACUAU
rnacentral:rRNA from 1 species